rnacentral:rRNA from 1 species
CUACGGGAGGCUGCAGUGAGGAAUAUUGCACAAUGGGGGGAACCCUGAUGCAGCAACGCCGCGCGGAGGAUGACGCAUUUCGGUGUGUAAACUCCUUUUAUAUGUCAAGAAAAUGACGGUAGCAUAUGAAUAAGCACCGGCUAACUCCGUGCCAGCAGCCGCGGUGAAUACGGAGGGUGCAAGCGUUACUCGGAAUCACUGGGCGUAAAGGACGCGUAGGCGGGUUGGAAAGUCAGGUGUGAAAUCCUACAGCUUAACUGUAGAACUGCACUUGAAACUUCUAAUCUAGAGUAUGGGAGGGGGAGAUGGAAUUAGUGGUGUAGGGGUAAAAUCCGUAGAUAUCACUAGGAAUACCUAAAGCGAAGGCGAUCUCCUGGAACAUUACUGACGCUAAGGCGUGAAAGCGUGGGGAGCAAACAGGAUUAGAUACCCCCGUAGUC